rnacentral:lncRNA from 13 species
GCAUGGGGAAUAGGGAGUCACACUGCAUAGGGAAAAGGGUGUCACACUGCAUAGGGAAUAGGGUGUCAUACUGCAUAGGGAAUAGGGAGUCACACUGCAUAUGGAAUAGGGUGUCAUACUGCAUAGGGAAUAGGGAGUCACACUGCAUAGGGAAUAGGGUGUCACACUGCAUAGGGAAUAGGGUGUCACACUGCAUAGGGAAUAGGGUGCCACACUGCAUAGUGAAUAGGGUGUCACACUGCAUAGGGAGUCACAAUGCAUAGGGAAUAGGGUGUCACACAGAAUAGGGAAUAGGGUGUCACAUUGCAUAGGGAAUAGGGUGUCACACAGCAUAGGGAAUAGGGUGUCACACAGCAUAGGGGAUAGGGUGUCACACUGCCUAGGGAAUAGGGUGUCACACUGCAUAGGGAAUAGGGNNNNNNNNNNAAUUUGUGUGUGUGUGUGUGUGUGUGUGUGUGUGUGUGUGUGUGUGUGUGUGUGUGUGUGUACCCUAUUAUUAAUAUAACAGCGAUAUUAUCACAAUAACACAUCUAUAUUGACAUACAGCGCAUUCGGAAAGUAUUCAGACCCCAUCCCCAUUUCCACAUUAAAUUCAUGUUUUUCCUCAUAAAUGUACAGACAAUACCCCAUAAUGCCAAAGUGAAAACAGGUUUUUAUAAAUGUUUGCCAUUGAAGUCGAAGGUUCACCUUCCAACAGGACCACGAACCUAAGCACACAGCCAAGACAAUGCAGGAGUGGCUUUGGGACAAGUCUCUGAAUGUCCUUGAGUGACCAAGCCAGAGCACGAACUUGAACCUGAUCUAACAUCUCUGGAGAGACAUGAAAAAAGAUGUACAGCAACGCUCCCCAUCCAACCUGACAGAGCUUGAGAGGAUCUGCAGAGAAAAAUGGGAGAGACUCCCUAAACACAGGUGUGCCAAGCUUGUAGCAUCCAAAUACCCAAGAAGACUAGAGGCUGUAAUCGCUGCCAAAGGUGCUUCAACAAGGUACUGAGUAAAGGGUCUGAAUACUUAUGUGAAGGUGAUUUCAUUUUUUUAUAUACAUUUGCAAAAAAAUCUAAAAGCCUGUUUUUGCUUCGUGAUUAUGGGAUAUUGUGUGCAGAUUAAUGAGGGGUAAAAAAAAACAAUUGAAUACAUUUUAGAAUGGAUGUUACGUAACAACAUGUGGAAAAACUCAAGGGGUCUGAAAACUUUCAGAAUGCACUGUUUCAGAUACAGUACUACUUCAAAUGUACCACUAUGACCUUGACUUAUUUUUUAUAUAAAAUAUCAUAAAUCAGUGAAACUCAAGCUUGCAGGUAUGGUACCGUGUGUGUGUGUGUGUGUAUGUGUGUGUGUGUGUGUGUGUGUGUGUGUGUGUGUGUGUGUGUGUGUGUGUGUUUCCGUGCGUGCGUGCGUGUGUGUGCGUGUGUGUGUGUGUCCGUGCGUGCGUGCGUGCAUGCGUGGAUGAGUGUUGUUAUAGUGACAGAGAGAUGUAGCACCUUGCUCCCCAUUAGCCAGAAAGAAGCAAUUAAUGUAGAUACACAGAGAUAAAGGUCACAUACACAUACAGAUACACACACAAAUACACACACACAAACGCACAAACACACACAAACACACUGCAUAAAAGGUCACCCCACGCUGUGUGUGAUAGAUAGUCAGACAGAAGAUGCUGCUUGUUGCCAUGGAGCAGUCUUAGACAAAUGAGAGUGCUGCAGACACAUGAACAGUAGGUGGGACACCAGUUAGAGUAAUGAGAGCAACAGUAUGAUAAUGACAGCAGACACUUUUCAAGAACAAGAUUACUGGCCGGUCUGACUGUGUGUGUUAGUGUCUCAGUGUGUGUGUGGUGUAUGUUCGGUGUAUGUUUUACGGUUAUGGCCUGUUAUUUUAUUUUCAUGACGGUCUUCAUCCAUAAUCGCCGAUUACACGAUUACACAGUAAUUGUGCCAGGCUUGUGUGUGUGUGUGUGUGUGUGUGUGUGCGUGUGGCAGACACUUUUCAAAUACAAGAUCCCUACCCUGAUUAUACAUCUAGGCCACAGUAAUUAUGCCAGUCGGGUAAUCAGAUUCUCUCCACAGUCCCUCGCAAUCUAGCACCUCGGGUCUGUAUGUUUGUGUGUGUGUGUGUGUGUGUGUGUGUGUAUGUAUCCGUGGCCCUCUGUGUUUCAUCAGUGGAGAGCAGAGAUGGCUGUGUAACCCCUCUACUGUCCAUCACACCUGACUUACAGCACAGAGGGAGGGAGAGAAGGGGGAGGGAGAGACAGAUACAUAAUGUGCCCGUGGAGAACAUGCACAAACCGAGGCCUUUCCUAGACUUGUCUGAGCGUUUGAAAGGAUAAAAUGCAUUGAUAUAAUUGGCUAUGGAUGAAGAAAGUGGAAGAACAGAGUAAAAUUGCGUAUGUCUACCCUCUAUUGCACUCGUUAUCAUGCCUGACCAGGUAGAAAAUAUGCAACUAUAGAAAACGGAGGACUCCCCAAGAAGUUUAAAAGGGCAAAAAGGCAUAUUGACAGAGAUAGAAAAGUAAAGGCACUGGAUGAUAGACGUGAGGGCAUGCUUUACAGUUAACCCCUAUCAUAUUUAAUCCCUAACAAGACCCCUAUUAUACUGUAUUCUAGUAUUUUCUCUUCUGUUCUUGUUACGCGGGGCGGAGCAGGGGAACUCAAAUGCAGACUCAUAUGAGGAUACAAGGACAGGUAACCAAUAUUUUUAUUGAAAAGCAGGAGAGGAGAUAGGGUGCAGUCCAAGGGAAUAUUGGGUGGGUAGUAGGGAAUCUGGACUGAGGCUGAGUGCAAGGAGAUUAGGAACCGGGUAAGCAGGUCUGGAGCGGAAUCCAAUGAAGCAGUAGAGCGAAGAUCCAGGGCAGAGAAGCAGGACUGAGGAGACGAGGGACUGGAGACAGGUACCAGAGUCAAAGCAGACGGGACUGUAGCGGAGAGAAAAAGCAGCGUGAGGCUAGGGAAAACAGGCACAACAGGGUAACAAAAUCUAUGCAGGAAUAAAUAGCUAGAAAUGCAGACUAACUGAGUAGAGGCUACAAUCUGUCAGCGUGGAAGUGGCAGGACUGAGUAUUUGUAGGGUUCUUGAUUAUGGAACAGGUUGCAGCUGGUAGGAAUCUGUUCUGCUUCCAGCACACCUGGUCUCCACUCACACAAUCACAGAGAGAGGGAGAGAGAGAGUGCACUGGGGGAGUGGUGGCAGGUUAGGGAGGUCCAGGAUGAGAAGUAGAGGGCGUGGUAGGAGCAGAUGUAACAGUACGGACACCACUUGGCAUCCGACUGGGCUUAUCUGGGUGUAGGGUAUGAAAAUCACGUAAGAGUGAGGGGUCCAGAAUGCUACAGCGGGGCACCCAGCAGCGCUCCUCAGGCCCAUAUUCCUCC